rnacentral:rRNA from 1 species
GAUGAACGCUGGCGGCGUGCCUAACACAUGCAAGUCGAGCGAGAAUCUCAUUAUUGAUCCCUUCGGGGGUGAUUUAAUGAGAGGAAAGCGGCGGACGGGUGAGUAACGCGUGAGUAACCUACCUUCAGGAGGGGGGACAACAUUCCGAAAGGGAUGCUAAUACCGCAUGAUAUUGUUUUAUCGCAUGGUUUAACAAUCAAAGAUUUAUUGCUGAGAGAUGGCCUCGCGUCUGAUUAGCUAGUUGGUGGGGUAACGGCCCACCAAGGCGACGAUCAGUAGCCGGACUGAGAGGUUGACCGGCCACAUUGGGACUGAGAUACGGCCCAGACUCCUACGGGAGGCAGCAGUGGGGAAUAUUGGGCAAUGGGCGAAAGCCUGACCCAGCAACGCCGCGUGAAGGAAGAAGGCCUUCGGGUUGUAAACUUCUUUUACCAGGGACGAACACAAUGACGGUACCUGGAGAAAAAGCAACGGCUAACUACGUG